UAGGGAAUCUUCCACAAUGGACGCAAGUCUGAUGGAGCAACGCCGCGUGAGUGAAGAAGGUCUUCGGAUCGUAAAGCUCUGUUGUUGGUGAAGAAGGAUAGAGGCAGUAACUGGUCUUUAUUUGACGGUAAUCAACCAGAAAGUCACGGCUAACUACGUGCCAGCAGCCGCGGUAAUACGUAGGUGGCAAGCGUUGUCCGGAUUUAUUGGGCGUAAAGCGAGCGCAGGCGGAAUGAUAAGUCUGAUGUGAAAGCCCACGGCUCAACCGUGGAACUGCAUCGGAAACUGUCAUUCUUGAGUGCAGAAGAGGAGAGUGGAACUCCAUGUGUAGCGGUGGAAUGCGUAGAUAUAUGGAAGAACACCAGUGGCGAAGGCGGCUCUCUGGUCUGCAACUGACGCUGAGGCUCGAAGCAUGGGUAGCGAACAGGAUUAGAUACCCUGGUAGUC
rnacentral:rRNA from 1 species